UUAAAUUCUAUGAUUGGAAAUAGUAAGUAAGUGCUUAUGCUAAAGCGAGCUGGGGGUGGUGAGAGCCUGGUGCGGAUAGACUUAUUGAAUGGUUCCAUGAGAAGCAGUGGGAAAUUAUUGAGAGUAUCACUUGCCGUAGGUCUCACGUUAUAGAGACAGGGUAUCGAAGUAGAUAAGACUAUUUCCGUACCUGAAAAGAGUGGGAUAGUUUAUACUAUCUAAAAUGGGUGGCAACACGGAAUAUAACAUUUCGUCCUGUAA
rnacentral:ncRNA from 1 species